UACGGGGGGGGCAAGCGUUGUUCGGAAUUACUGGGCGUAAAGGGCUCGUAGGUGGCCAACUAAGUCAGACGUGAAAUCCCUCGGCUUAACCGGGGAACUGCGUCUGAUACUGGAUGGCUUGAGUUUGGGAGAGGGACGCGGAAUUCCAGGUGUAGCGGUGAAAUGCGUAGAUAUCUGGAGGAACACCGGUGGCGAAGGCGGCUAUCUGGACCGACAUUGACGCUGAGGCGCGAAAGCGUGGGGAGCAAACAGG
rnacentral:rRNA from 1 species